rnacentral:rRNA from 1 species
UCGGGAAUUUUGGGCAAUGGGCGAAAGCCUGACCCAGCAACGCCGCGUGAGGGAUGAAGUAUUUCGGUAUGUAAACCUCGAAAGAAUGGGAAGAAUAAAUGACGGUACCAUUUAUAAGCUCCGGCUAACUACGUGCCAGCAGCCGCGGUAAUACGUAGGGAGCAAGCGUUGUUCGGAUUUACUGGGCGUAAAGGGCGCGUAGGCGGCGCGGUAAGUCACUUGUGAAAUCUCUGAGCUUAACUCAGAACGGCCAAGUGAUACUGCUGUGCUAGAGUGCGGAAGAGGCAACCGGAAUUCUUGGUGUAGCUGUGAAAUGCGUAGAUAUCAAGAGGAACACCUGAGGCGAAGGCGGGUUGCUGAGCCGACACUGACGCUGAUGCGCGAAAGCCAGGGGAGCAAACG